GUGAUGUGUUCUGGGCAACCGAAGCGGGC
rnacentral:sRNA from 1 species